AAGUUUUCUCUGAUCCGAUACUAUGACCACAAAUCCCACACACUUCACCUUCUUCAACCUUGUGAUAGUGCCCACAUACUCCACAAGGUUUUCCCUCUCUCUUUUCCUCAUUAUCAAUCCGACCCAGAUGAAGAAACAACGAGUUUGAAUCAAAUCAAUGUUAAAAAUCAAACCUUUUCACGAUUUAAGAAUGACCCAGAUGAAAAAAAAUUGAUUUUUAGAAGAUUAAAGAAAAGGGUUUUGAAGAGGAUCAAGAAAGAGGUGAAUUUUUUUUUUUGGCUUUCACACCGGUUUCCGACCCACCAAAGAAGGGCGACUAAUCCGACUUAUGCGUUGAGGCAUGCGCACUGACCAAGUGUUGUUUCCCCUGAUACGUCCUUGGAGGAGCUCCUUGUCACUGAAGCCCAAACAACUUGGUUGAAAGAGGUGAAAUUUAUUGGAGUAGGGUUUUGAAGAGGAUCAAGAAAGAGGUGAAAUUUAAUGGAGGCUGUUUUGUUGUUUUUAUGUUGUGUUGUCAAUCGUCAAUGAAAUUAUAAUGAUUUUAAUUAAUUGAUAAUGAGGUAGAGAGAAGAGAAAGAGGAAGCGUGUUUGAUCUCUUAUUUUAUUUAUUUUUAUUAAAAAAUUGAUGUUUUGUUUAUUUUUAAUCUGAACCAUUGAAUAUUUUUUUCCACGUGUCAUUCAUCUAAGACUUUAGAUGGGGUAAAUGGAGCAUACCCGGAUUCCUAUUUUGUGGUCAUGUGUUACUAAAC
rnacentral:lncRNA from 1 species